CAUUUUUCCUCGCAAAUUAUCGAAAAUGAGUCCUUCUGCACUGAACAGCCGUUCAACGUGAGCCGAAGAUGGUGAGAAGAAGUAUCGA